GAUUCUAGGGCGCUGUUUUCAAAUUUCAUUUUCUUCCGGUUUUUUCCAGCACCACGAGAACAUGAGGACGCGGCGAAAAGUUGGACAAUGAUCACAAGACUCCUACCGUGAAUCUGGCGCAGUUUAUCAGGGGUUCCCUACACUGGUCCUCGAAGACAGCUGGUCAACAUGUUUUCCAGCAUCUCUGCCCAUCAUCCACCUGCUGUGUGUUCAGUCAGAGCUGAAAAUGACAAUUUCGGGGUGAAUAACAGUCAGUCAUCUGUCAGACAGAAUUCAAUACUCUUUCUCCAGGCCAACUAAUUUUCUCCAGUGCAAAUGAUCCUUUGUCAUCCCACUCCCUGAGGACACUCCAGAGUAGUAAUUGUCAUUGUGGACUCCAGCAGGUCUACAUGUUCUGUUAAGACACUGGAUUCUGAGAGCGAGAUCCUGUCAAGUGUUCAUCAAAGCUGAAGAGAAGAACUGCAUCUGUGCAAGUUUGAAAUGUGAAAGAAUGUGUGUCUCUGUCUGUCUGGAUCGCUCUGACUGUGAUUUUGGUGUCACAUUUAGGUUCGGCAACUGUCCGGAGUUGGUGGAUGUUCUGUCCAAGACUGAUUAAAAGAUUGAUAAACAGAUGCUGUGAAGUGAGUCCAGAUGCUACAGACACAGAAAAAGAUGCCGCAAUGAAGGAACACAGCAAGCACCUUCCAGGAAGAGCUGAAGAAUAUUAGAAAUAAAGACUCUAAAAUAACA